CCGCCUCCGGAAAGCCGGGCCCCGCCCCUCCCGCCGCGGCUGGGCGCCCAGGUGGAGCCCCCUCCCAGCUUCUGAGCGCCCAGACUGACUGCGCUCUGCGCCCGGCCGGCUCGCUUCAGGGGUCCCGGACCUGCGCCCGCGAGAGAGGGCUGGUCGGACCCAGUCCCCGCCGGGUCUCCUGGGCCGAAGUCGCAGCUGUCUGUCAGCAUUUACGGGUGGGCAAGAUACUCCUCGGGGCAUAAAACAGGCUCCGCCCUGACCUUUCUGAGAGUUUUACAUUCAAGAACCCAGUCGUGGGGCACAAAAGAGAAAUGGAACGAGAAGAAAAGCCUCUGGAAAAAUCUCCCCCUCCCCCUUCACAGACUCCACUGGAUCUGAUGUGUAUUUGGCAGGUUCUACGGCGCUGACUGUGUCCUUCAUUAAUUUUUUCCCAAAGGCCCGACCGGGCAGUGUGAUUCACACCCGAGGAAAUGCAUGGACACUGGCUCUUUUCAUAGCACCGAGGCUCCCGUGGAACUCCCUGGGUCGGCUUUGCCAGACACUCCCUGGACACAGUUGUUCAGCUCCUCCCCAGCACCUGGGCUUCCCAGACCUCAAAAGGGUGGGGUUGGGGAGGGCAUGCCAUCCUUUCAGCCUGGACUCUGCGUAGAGCUUGGUGAACUGUGAUGAGUGUCCGGAUGUGUAGAUGACACAUUUUGACAGAAGUGCAGAUUUAAUUUUUCAGUUGAAAGGAACUGAGCAAUGCACUGCAGCAGAGACUUCUGGCUAGAAAAACAUAGCAAGGCAGCCAGAGAACUUCCGAUCCCCUUAAAAGAGCUCUGUGAACCCUCAGACCUGUGACAGGCGGCUUUUGGAAAAACUAUUGUGUUCUUCCUAAAAUUGAAGAAUGUAAUUUACAUUUUACAAAAUGCUUACUGCAAUCUUUUCAAACCAUGAACGUAGAAAGUGCAAGUCAAACUUUACGUGUGAGGAGUGUUAUGAGGUGGCCUCCUCUGUGCAGCCUUUCCUGGCUUCUCUUGGGCACCUUGCACAAACCAGACCAUUAAUAAGUGUUUGCAGAAUAAAUGCGUGCAUCAUGGCCCUUUGGAUUCAGAGAUGAAGUUAUAAGUUGUAUUGUCUCCUCUCUUUGUGAAUGUGGCAGGCAUGGAAGGGAGAGAGAAAAUACUAUUGAUGAGAUGUAUUAAGAAGGUCCAGUGUCCAAAACAGUGAUUUUUGUGUUUAUCCUCAACCAAGCAUCAAAGAUUAAUUUACUUUUCCAUUAGGAUCAUUAAUUUUGCAAACCAACAUGCAGGGGGGCCUUGUACAGUGUUAAUUUAGAACCUUCUUUCCUGGAACCACAAACCCAGGCAAAGGUAAUUGGAAGCAUUUAAGGAGACUCAAACGUGCCCAGGGCACAGAGUAGCUUUGGGCCCCCUGUAGUCAGGAUGGCUGGAUGAAAUGAAGUGGAGUGGGCUCGGAGCCCAAGGCAGAGACAAAGCGGAAGGAUGGGGUUUGUCUUCUCGGGGUGUCAGCAAGACCUUUCAGGUCCUUCUUGCUGCCCCAGGCCCACUUGCUUCUCACAGGACACCCAUGGGUCCUCCCUGCUGUACCCUACCCAGGCUUGUGAACUCUUUUCCCUUCUGACUCUUAACCUUAACACAUCCCCUUGGACCCAGCCACUUAGUUACUUGCCCUGAG
rnacentral:lncRNA from 10 species